AUGAGUGUACGCGAGGAAGACAGGCAGAAAACGGGAUGCACUGGUCGCGGCCUUGGGAUCGCGGCCGCGGUCGGUGUCGGCGUUGGUGCUGCUUUGUAUUACUUCUUAAGCAAAAGGCCUGAGCAACCCGAUACUGAGGGUUCCACCAGUUCUGCGUGGGCAUACAACGAUCACAGUGCUUUCCCAUUAACAGAUAGAAUGGACUCGGAUAGCUAUUCCACGAUAUCAGAACACAGCACUUCCGAUACAAGCAUAAUAGAAGACUCGAUGCCGGAUACAAGUAUUUCUAGCUGCCGUUCAGAAUCUACGAAUAGCGUAUCAAGUGAUCAAGAUAUGUCUAACACUGAAGAUACACAUUCACCUUCGAACAAUGACACCAGAGGUUCAGGUUCGAUCUAUUCAGAUGACGCUGAAGAAUCUGAUGACGACACAACGUACGAUACUGAUACGUCCAUUUCUGAAAUCAGCGACUUAGAUGAGUCACAUGAGAACCGGAGUGUGACCCUCGAGACAGGGUAUCUGUCGUUUCAAAACGUCGAGGAAAGAGUGGAUUCUGAUUCCGAUAUUCAAAUGGAAUGGGACAUCACUAAUUCUUCUAUCGAUGUGCCCUUUGAGGAGAGACGGUCUCCGUUAAUGAUGUUUUUUAGUGGAUUAACGCAUAUGAUAAGUCCAAGGAGAAAAGCGGAAGACAGCCAGAUAAAUAGGCUAAGGGAUGAGCACUUCCGUAAGCGCUCGUGGUCGUUGGAAGAGUGCUCCAUCUGCUUCGAGAUCAUGCUGAAGGAUCAGGAGCUGAUGGCCCUACCGUGCACCCACAAUUUCCACUCGCAGUGCAUCAUGCCCUGGCUUCAGGAGAAACAGACGUGCCCCAAUUGCCGGAAGGACGCCUGAUCGAAGGUGAUAAAGGAAGUAAAAAGCGCUGACUGGAUCAAUGUUUUUUUUGUUAUUGUAUGUGAGACGUUAGUUCCCGGCUCGGUAGUUUGUUUUAGCCGGUUAUCGUCGCGACACACACACUGGGUCUGGACAAACCAAUCGAUCCCUGGUCGGGGAUGGAUACGGAACUUGCCCAGCAAGGUAUCCUAGGUCCCCGAUGUACGUCUAGGAUUCAACAAAUAGUGUAAAUGCACAUACGCACCUGGGACUGCCACACGGAGCUCCUGGACGCGUGCACUGUUCUAGAAUCACUAGGCCUUGUUAAUGUAUUAUAAUUUAACUUCACCCGCGGUCGUCGAUUUCGGUUAAGUUUAAAUGUUCUAGAUUCGGUUGCGUGUUGCUCGGCUCCCGUUCGUAAUCGAUGUGUGUGUGCAUGCGAUGUAGCUUCGCUGUCAUUUGCUGGAUCCGAACGUGGAGAUCGAUUGGCGUUGUAAAAUGUCAGAUUUAAAAUUUGCCGCGAAGACGGCACAUACCGCCCACCAAAAUACAAGUUAUUGGAUUUUCCACUAAGUUAAAUGAUAAAAUGAAAACUAAAGAAAUUACUAAAGAAACCUACAUCUAAAUUAAAUUAAAGACAAUACAAUUUUAAUAAUUUUAGAAUUUUAGUUAAUCAGAAUAAAUAGGUAGGGGAGCUAACUUCGUUAAUGGCCUAGUGUAGAAUUUGCCAUUGGCUGUACGGACAGUGGCAAUACGAACCACGCCAUCAGGGCUGGCGUGAAGCUUGGAGACACGAGCUAAAGGCCAGUGCAACGGCAUUGUACUUUCACUCUUAAUCAGUACAACAGAACCAUCAUUCAAAGUUUCGCCUCUUUUGUUCCACUUUGCUCUCUGAGUUAGGGAAUGCAGAUACUCGGACUUCCAGCGUUGCCAGAAAUGCCGCUGGAAACGUUGAAUCAAUUGCCAGCGAUUCAAUCUAGACAUCUGAUCAUCCAACAAGUUAGAAUCUGGAACGGCGGUAAGUGGUUCCAGAACCAAGAAAUGUCCCGGCGUUAAAACGUUCAAAUCGUUAGGAUCUGAACUCAAAGAGCAAAGCGGCCGAGAAUUUAGCAAAGCUUCGAUUUGAACGAAAAGUGUUGUUAACUCUUCGAACGUUAAAGUUUGAUUACCUAUAAUACGAUGUAAGUGAGUUUUAGCUGCUUUAAUUUGUAUUUCCCAUACACCUCCGAAAUGUGGAGCAGAAGGGGGAUUGAAUUUAAAUUCAAUGUUUUGAGACUCAGAAGCAGAAUUCAUAUAAAGAUUAAGGAUCUUCUGAGCUCCAAUAAAAUUCGUACCACAAUCGGAGUGUAUAACAUUCACCCUAUCGCGUCUCCCAACAAAACGGCGCAGGGCAGCAAUAAAGGCUUCGGACGAGAGCUCACUAACCACUUCCAAAUGAACUGCUUUGGUACUAAAACAUACGAAUAGGCACAAAUAGGCCUUACCGAUUUUGGCACCGCGAUGCUUACCGAGUUUGAUUUGGAAUGGACCUGCGUAGUCCACGCCAACAAUAGAGAAUGGUUUGACUUGAUUCACACGAGAAGCCGGCAAGUCACUCAUGAAUGGUUCCAAUAAUUUCGGAUUAGUUUUAUAACACGAAACACAUUUUGACAAGCAAUGACGAAUAGCACGUUUAGAAGAGAAUACCCAAAACAGCUGCAUCAAAAGAUAUUGUGUCGUUCCCAACCCAGGAUGACAAUUCUCUUUGUGAAUUGCUUCGAUGAUCAUGUAUGUGAACCUAGAAUGACGCGGCAACAGAGCAGGAUGCUUAUGACUAAACUCAAGACCAGAACGAGACAAACGGCCGCCCACCCUGACAACUCCUUGGUCGUCCAGGAAUGGAUUGAGUUUUCUCCACGGUUUAGGUAAUGGUACACCAUUCUCGAGCUUACGAAUUUCAUCCUGAAAGUUGAGAAAUUGAAUUCGCUUGGUAAUCGUCAUCAGGGCCCCAUGAAGUUCUGCACGACCUAAAAAGGUACCCGGAACACGUGUCUGUUUUUUGUUAGCAUUUCUGAUAAAACGAAGACAAUAACCAAUAAUACGUUGAACCUUACGAAUUGAUGAAAACCUUUCGAGCAAAGAAUCGAUAAAGUUAGGUUCAUCAUUCACGACCAACGAAAAACAGCGUUCCUCGGCAAGCAUAUCAGUCUCGUUCACCUCGAGACCGGAAUUUGAAGGCCAUGAAGAUGAAGGUUGCCGAAGCCAGCUCGGUCCCGCCCACCAUAACUCACUUUGGAGUAGGUCGCUCGGACACAUACCGCGGGAAGCUAUGUCCGCAGGAUUUUCAUUAGAGCGCACGUGAUUCCAGUGAGUUUCGGGGACAGUUUCUUGGAUAUGACUAACCCUAUUAGCAACAAAUGUUUUCCAACGCGAGGAAUGGCCACGAAUCCAUGACAGAGUUACCGUUGAAUCUGACCAAGCAAAUGUAUCAGAAAGCGGAAGUAACGGUACAUACACUUCUUUUACGAAUUUGAGCAGGUCAGCGAGCAGAACCGCAGCGCAGAGCUCUAGUCUCGGCAAUGAAACUCUCUUAAUUGGGGCCACGCGAGACUUAGCACAUAAAAAGGAUACUCCUAUAUGACCAUCGGAAUUAAGAGUUCGAAGAUAAACCACAGCUCCAUAGCCAGCCUCCGAACUGUCAGCAAAACCAUGUAAUUGGUACGAUUCCAUGCUUCCAGUGGUCGAUAUACAUCUAGGAAUACGAAUACGUUCAAUAAGUGGAAGCUCGGCUACGUACAGGUUCCAAUGACGCACUAUGUCGUCAGGAGGGACAUCAUCCCACCCAACACUCAAGACCCACAAACGCUGAACCAAUAACUUGGGAAUGAACGUCAAAGGACAGAGAAAGCCCAAAGGGUCAUAAAUACGAGCCACCUCACUUAGAAUGGUACGCUUGGUACAUUCUCUGUGAAGAACAUUAACUUGGAAAGAAAAGAUGUCCGGAAGAGGUUCCCACUUCAAACCCAAUAUUUUGUGAGAAGGGGUAAUUUCUAUAUCUAAUGAUACAAAAUCGGUUACGCAAUGUUCAGGAGGUAUGUCUGCAAGUAACUCUUUCUUGUUACUUGCCCAUUUCCGUAAUUCAAAACCUCCCUUCUUCAAUAAAUGAAUGACGUCAGAUUUAAUCAACUCGGCUUCACCCAAACUUGAGGCUCCAUGGGCCACAUCGUCAACGUAAAUGGAAGAAGUAAGAGGAAAAACAGCACAUGGAAAACAAGAACCUUCAUCGUGGACGAGUUGCUUAAUUGUUCUGCACGCCAGGAACGGAGAAGACGCCACUCCAUAGGUAACGGUAUUCAACUCAUACUCCUGAACCGGUUCAAAUUGAUUAAAACGCCAAAAUAUCCUCUGGAAACCACGAUCCUGUUCCUGUUGAAUAAUAUUCCUGAACAUUUGCUUUAUAUCCGCUGUAAAAACAACGGGGUAGCCGCGAAAUCUCAAAAGGAUUUCUGUAAUAUUAGUCUGUAAUUUGGGCCUAUUAAUAAGGAAUCGUUAAGUGAAAUCCCUCGAGCGUCCUUAGCAGAAGCAUCGAAAACCACCCUCAAUUGAGUAGUUGAACUGCCAGGACGAAAAACACAAUGAUGAGGAAUGUAAUAUUUUCCCUUAUGCAGGUCGGUGGCUGAGACACGGGUCAUGUGACCAUUAUUUAAGUAGUCCAGCAUGAAGUCCGAAUACUGCUCAUGAAGGUUUGGGUUUGAAAGAAGUCUUCGUUCCAAUGAAUGAAAUCUUCGCAAUGCAUUUUCACGCGAACCCGGAAACUGUAACUCCCCAUCCCUCUGCCUAAACGGCAAAGAAACGAUGUACCUUCCAGAUGUACCUCGAGCGUGGGUUUCAGUGAAAAGUUUCUCACAUUGCUGCUCGUCCGGCGUUAGAACUGAUGAUUUAGGUAUGACCUCCAACUCCCACAGUCUCCUCAAUUCCUCAUGGAGAGGAGUAUCGUGUUCUCUUAGAAAAAAAGAAUUUGAGUGUUUUGUCUCAUCCCUGCAUUUGACACUUCCCAUCAGGAUCCAACCGAAGAUGGUGUUCAAGGCUGAGGGUUCAUGAGGACUACUUGAAAUAUUUCCGGGUAGUAACAGCGUUGAAAACAUUUCAGCACCGAUAAGCAGAUCUAUUGGUCCAGGCUUAUUAUAAUUCGGAUCAGCGAGUCGCAAAUUACGUAGGUGUUCGCAUGAAGAAAGAUCAAGACGAGCAGUGGGCAUUUGUGCACAAAUAGAUGGUAAGAUGAGAGCCGUUAAAUUAAAUAAAUUCUUUUGAUGAACUCCAAGUUGAAGCUCCACCAUUCCAGUCACUGACGUCGAUGAUUGCCCCAAGCCACAAACAUUUCGCGAAGUUUGCUUAGGCUUUAAGCCCAAUCGUUCCAUAGCUUGAUUAGAAAUGAAAUGUGACUGACUACCAGGGUCGAUGAGUGCGCGAAGAGUAUGAAAGUGACCAGAUGAGUCACGCACUUCAACGUUAGCAGUAGCCAGCAGAACUACAGAGCUACCAUUCAUGUUUGUAAAAGCCUGCGUUUGUGGCUCUUGACUAGAAGACGGUGGCAGUCGAUUAAUCGAUGAAUGACUCUUGGUCACGUCCUCGUGGACAGUGUCACAGAAAUCUCUGUGGAGAAGCGUGUGAUGGUUCUGUCUACAAAUUUUACAUCUGAAGAUAGAUUUACAAUUUUUUAAUUGAUGCGAGGCGCGUAAGCAAUUGAAACACCAUCGAUGAAGCUUCGCAUGAUUGUAUCUAUCAUCUACCGAUUUUUGUGAAAAUGAUUCGCAAGAGACUAUAGUGUGCUCACCGUCACAGUACGAGCACUUGAGUGUCGGUGGAGUAGAAUUUACUACGGUAGUUGGUGUCAGCAUAUCCUUAGAAUCGUUCUUCUUCGGUGGGGUGUUUGAUAAAAAAGUAGAAACCGGUUUUUUAUUGAAUGAAACGACGUUAUGAAUCGCAGCAGAACGUGGCUUAUCCGGAGCAGGACGAUCAUGAACAAAGAAGUGGCUAUCGCGUAUAAGGGCUUCGCAUUUGUUUUGUAAAAAUCGUUUGAGGUCGUUGAAGGCUGUCAACUCAGAAUCUGAAAAUUGUAUUUCAAAAGCACGACGAGUGUUUGAGUCCAGCUUUGAAAGAACUAAGUAGCUAAGUAUAAAAUCCCAACUGUCAGUUGGUAGGUUUAACCCUUUCAAUAUCGAUAAAUUUUCGUUAAACAAAUCAAGACUACGUCGAAAGUCAGAUGGAGAAUUUAAUUUUAAAUUUACAUUAAGUAUUUCUUUCCAACAGGUGAAAGCUAAAUCACGCUUAUUUUGAUAACGAUCAAUCAAUGUUUGAUAAGCCUCCUGAUAGAAUUUCCCUUCAUAAGGGAAGGAGCGUAUGAGUGCCACGGCAUCUCCAGACAAACUUGAUAUUAGAUAAUGCAUACGCUCUGAGUCCGUAAGUGUUGCGUUGUUAUGAAUGAGGGAGUGGAAUACGUCAUGGAAUUUAGGCCAACCUUUUAUUUCACCUGAAAACUGCGGUACAGAAAUUUUAGGAAGUUUUAUGUUGUGACUUGUUACCUUGGAAGAUUCUAGCGAAGUGUUCAAUUCACUACCCGUUUUGAUAGUCAACUGCCUAUAUAUAGAAAGAAUCUCCAUAUAAAUAUCAUCAAAUUCCAUGCGAAGCAGGUCCUCAGCCUCCUCAUCGCAACUGUCUAUCAGUGAUAUAAUGUCACCGUAUGCAGCCUCAAAGGCACUAACAACUUUUUUUACUUCCGGAAAACAAGCAAGGAAGGUGUUACAUUGUUCCGGAUCAUAUUUAGCCGCUCGGGCAAUAACUAAGGUUUUCUUUAAUCGAUUUAAAGAUAAAGUACGCUUCCGUCGCAAUACUGGUAGGUCCUGAACCGAAAUUUCAUCUGUGUCCAUCGACCUCGAUUUACUUUUCUUAAGUACAGCACACGAUACCUUCCGUUUCACGGAAUGUGACAUUCUUAAUCGGAGCUACGAUGUUAUUUCAAUUGAAUUCAAAAAAAAUAAAACAAAAAAAUAAAAAAUUAGAAAAUAAGUACUAUGAAUAUUUGAAGGAAAAUGAACGAUUAAUGUAAAAUGUUUUUGUAAUGUAAAAUGUUUUGUAAUUACGCAACCAAUACAAAAGGAUAAAACUACAAGGUCAAUAACCCAUUUGCAAUUGAAUAACUCAGGUAAAAGAUGACGUAUGUGUUCGUAUACCUGAGUUGUAAGUAUUAGAAUAAUAUCGCAAACACAAAGAACCGUAAUCACCAAACGACAUUUAUAGGUAGGUAGGUAGUACGGAAACGAAAAACUAAAUAAAAUAAAAAUUCACAAAGUAACUCAUUAAUUUGUCAAUACGUGGACGGUAUUUGAUCGUGACAAAACAAGAUUGGUAUAGGUUUAGAUUUAAAUUUAAAUGUUUUAAAAUUAAACCAAACGUGAUAUUAUUUAAAAUCGGUGUUAGCACAACAAUUAUAUUUAUAAGAAUAUAACUUUGUACCAAGAUGCAUAAUUAACUGAUGGGCGAACAAUGCAGCGUUAUACGUUCAACAAACGAAGACGGAGGGUAUCCUCGUAAAGUUGACGACAAUUAAUCUAGAAUUAUUUAUUAGAUUCUCUUUUACGUUUAAUAUAAUGAAUUUUACAAAUUAAUGCACUGAAGAGAAUGAAGUACAUACACCGUUAUGUUAUUUGAUUGUAUGCACAGCGUUACGGAUUGCAAUUAAUUUGCACAGUGGAUUGAUGACGUGAUUCGUAUUGUCUUAGGCCUAAUGAAAUUGAUCGUAAUAUAAUUAAGAAAGCGGUUAAAAAGUAGUUACGUUAAAUACUAGUUAAAUUUAAGAACUUGUAUUUUGCUGUGACGGUAGAUUUCCCGGGUUUCGGCACCAUAAAAUGUAUGUGAGACGUUAGUUCCCGGCUCGGUAGUUUGUUUUAGCCGGUUAUCGUCGCGACACACACACUGGGUCUGGACAAACCAAUCGAUCCCUGGUCGGGGAUGGAUACGGAACUUGCCCAGCAAGGUAUCCUAGGUCCCCGAUGUACGUCUAGGAUUCAACAAAUAGUGUAAAUGCACAUACGCACCUGGGACUGCCACACGGAGCUCCUGGACGCGUGCACUGUUCUAGAAUCACUAGGCCUUGUUAAUGUAUUAUAAUUUAACUUCACCCGCGGUCGUCGAUUUCGGUUAAGUUUAAAUGUUCUAGAUUCGGUUGCGUGUUGCUCGGCUCCCGUUCGUAAUCGAUGUGUGUGUGCAUGCGAUGUAGCUUCGCUGUCAUUUGCUGGAUCCGAACGUGGAGAUCGAUUGGCGUUGUAAAAUGUCAGAUUUAAAAUUUGCCGCGAAGACGGCACAGUUAUUAAUAACGUAAAAUAAAAUGAUAGUAUUUUUUGUAAUUUUUAUUAUAACUUUUUUUAUAAGACGAAUUAAUUUGUAAAAUAAAAAAAAACGGUUUGAAAAAAAAAAACUUAGCCGCUUCGCUUGCUAGAACGAUUUGUAUCAUGAGUCAUAUUUGCAGUAGGAGUUAAACAUGAAACACGCGACAUUUAUCUUUGUAAUUAAAGGCUUCGUCAAACAGAACGCGUACUUAGCGCGCGUCAGAGCGCUAAACUAACGCCGCGCUAUGACGCCGGGAUGUGUUGUAAUACUAUGGUAAGAUACUGUCAAACAGAGCGCCAGCGCUAUAGCGCCGUCACACAGAGCGCCAGCGCUAUAAGCGCUAUAGCGCUGGCCUUCUGUUUGACGGUAUCUUACCAUAGUAGUACAACACAUCUCGACGUCAUAGUUAAUUGAAUCAAUUGAGUUUACUCCAUUCCAAAAAAGCUAAAGAAAUUUUUUUUUUGUUAUGAUUUGUUUUUCUUUAAACCUUUAGCUCUCCUGUAAAGUAGCAAAUAUGUCGUAAAAUCAUACCCUCACUAUUAGACAUUCGUGGUCUUAAAAGAUUUGUCUCCAUGGACUCUUAUCUCGGGAUCGUUGUGGGAUUUCUGUUGGCGUCUCCACAAUACUUCUAAAGCAGCGGUCGGGGAACUUUUUUAAUUAUUACCCCAAAAUAUUUUUGUGUAAGUUGAUAUUACCCCAUGACGAAGAACAAAAGAAAAAAAACGUAAUCGCUUCUUUUUAGCAUCUUUCAUAUUAUAGCCCCCAUGAUAAUUUUGAAAAGAAAACAAUAACUAAAAAUUAAAUUUAAACAUCAUUUAUUCAAUUUAUCAAUGUAAUGCCAAUACCUAGUAAAACAUAACGGUAAUAAUAGUAAUAUAUGUAAUAUAUAGUUGAGGAAAAAAAAUCGCCACCACAGAAAAAAAAUGAGCCGUCACGGGACGCCUGGCAGAUGUGAAACAUCGACAUUAUUUUGUAAAAAUAUGCAGAAAAGAACAGAUUGUGAUAGGAACUAAAUAUGUCAUAAUGAUAAAAUAAAAUAUUACGAAAAAAUAAUUUGUUUUCAAGUAAAACACAGGUUAUGUGUACUGUAGUAAACAACACUGUAUACACUACGGAGUAUACACUAUAGGUAUCCGAGCUCAGUGUAGCGAGAGAGAUGGCUUAACGCCGGAUCGAGUGGGAGAGAAUCGCACAGUCGAUUGCGCAUGGCGACGCGUCGCCACACCGUACACACUACUGCAUAUAGACUGUAUAUAUAUACCAUCAUAUAUACCAGAAAUCGGUUUUACGUGCGGCUAUAGAUGUUUCACAUCAAUAUAAGUAAAUGAUAAUUUCUUGUUAUUUUAUAAUUCAUAUGAUAUUUUUCUUGUAUUAUUAGACGAAAAAAUUUCGUUUUGUUUCAUUUCGUUUCAUCGAGUUUGAAAUCACAACGAUCCUAAAGAAGUUUCACUUCAAUAUAUACUUUUUACUCACAAAAGUUUCAUUUUUACCCCCCAAAAUUUCAUUUUACCCCUUUUGGGGUAAUUUACCCCGGCUCCCCGACCGCUGUUCUAAAGCAUCGUGGUGGAAUUCAGCAUCAAAAUCACUUCCCCUUUAUCGGUUCCAAAAUCCACUGCUUCUCCAAUAAGAGCGUGUUUGAUCGCGUUAUGUGUCCAAAGAGAAUUGGUUGACCUUUUCGCCCUCUGAGAAGCAAAUCGUAGUUUUGAUGCAAGAGCCCUUGUAGAAUCGAUCUCUUUAUGGCAGCUUCCGUGGUGCCCUCAGAUUCCCCUCCUAACUGAGGCUUUGCUCGCCCAUCUGUCCUGGUGAAAUUGGAAAUCCAAGCAUAAUCCUUCAAUCGUAAAAAAAAAGUUAGUCUCUAUAAGUUAGUCUUUAGCGGUAGGCAGCGGCUUGGCUCUGCCCGUGGCAUUGCUGAAGUCCAUGGGCGACGAUAACCACUCACCUUCAGGUGGGCCGUGCGCUCGUCUGCCUACAUGGGCAAAAAAAUAAAAUAAAAUAAAACUGCACCAAAUUUCAAAAGCCCGUAUUUAGUUCAUAUCUCGACUUUUGAGGCUCCUUGUUUCGAUGACUUCCUACAAACAUUUGUCUGUUAUGUUUGAUAGACAAAAUAACACUAUAGAUACGUUCCAACAAAAUAUCUCUGCUGUUUUGCGAAACAGUGUUAUAUGAAACUAUAGACGUCAAUAAAAUAAUAAUUGUAAAUAGACAUGCUUUAACAAAAACCGACUUCAAAUAGAAAAAAAAAGAUAUUCCAAAACAAAUUAAUACACACUAAAAGCAAUAAUCAUAGAAAUCGGUUGGUGUGAUAUUGAGUUAUUGUGUUAUUCAUCUAUUUGUCGCGCACGUAUUUAAUGCAAAUUUAAGACUUAUCUGGUCUUCUCAUGGAUACCAUUAUCAGAUCUGGACUAAAUUGAAAUGAGACCACACGGGAAACGUCAACUUUCUAAUAAAAAAAGAAUCAUCAAAAUCGAUUCACCCAGUCAAAGUUAUGACGUAAGAAACAUAAAAAAAAACAUACAGUCGAAUUGAGAACCUUCUCCUUUUUUGAAGUCUGUUUAAAAGGCAGAUUUUUUCUGAAUGAAACAUCUCAACUAUGCCUGUAUGUGAUUUUUACGUAUUAUACAUGAAAAAAAUGAACAGUAAAAUUUCGGUUAUUCCCAUUUAUUGUGUGUUCAUAGUGCAUAGUGCAUAGUGUAAUUUUGUAAAUAUUUUUAAACAAAAAUCUCAUCAUUGUGUUGUAGAAAGACCGUGCAAUGAGAGGGUUUUGGGGAAAUCUUCUUUUCGUGUUAGAGUGGAAGCGUGUUGUAAAAUGCCGUGCUAUAGAAGUUGUUAACUGCAAUAAGAAAUAUCAGAAUCGCACAGUAAAAGCCGGCCAGUAAAAAAGAAAAAAAGAUGUAAAAUGAGAAUGAAAUACGGCAUAUAUACAUUAUUUAUAAAAUAUAUAUAGAAAAAGUACAUAAAAUCUUUCUAAUAGAUCUAUAAAAUAGUAUCUAGUCAUUUGUCUCGAUUCUUAUUUAGAACAAAUGCAAUUGUUUUUUUUUUUGCAAAAUACCUAGGUUACAUAUUAUUAAGACCUCAUUCAAUUAUAUUGAAUUUCAGUCCGUUGUUCGUCGCACUAUUGGGAAUUUAAAGAAAUUUGUAACAAUAAAAAUUGUAUUAUUUUGAUAAUGUUUCAUUUUAUGCAAUAAGGAAAAUAAAUAAAUUGAGGAAGAUAUUCGUUUGCCUAAGAGAGGAGUUCCCGCCAAAUUUGCUGUCAGUCAAAUAGAAAUUUAUUCGUUUUAUGGCAACUAAAAUAUUUAUGUACUGGUUUGAUUUAAAUAAUAUUUCAAAAAUUAUUUACAUUUAUCUGCAUCUUUUAAAGAAUCCUUUGUCGUUGUACGAUAAUAAAAAGGUACUUGUACAGCAAAAUUGUGGAUUAACUUUUUGUUGUCUAACUGAUUGUUUUCUAAAGUAAAAUGUUCAUUCGCAUCGAUAAUUAAAUUAAAGUUGAUGUUAUAAUAUCGUUAGACUAUAUUUAUAUAUACGAAAUAAAUUAUUAGAAAUUAUAAUUGAAAAUGUUUGCUAUUGCUCAAUUAAAAUAAAGAUUUAAUUAAAAUA